ACCUGAAAGAUUCAACUGAGGGACAAGGGGGUAGAAAAGAAUAAAAUGAAGUUUAAGUCUAUUGUGAAAGUAAAGUAUGUGGUACGGAUAGCUAUUUGAGAGACACUAAGCAGUCAGAAAUGGAUGAUGGCCUGAUUAGAGUAUUCUCAGAGGAGUUUAUGGCAAAGUUCUUGCUGAGUUGCCCUGUCUGGCCUGGAACUUGCUACCCUCCUGCCUCAGCUGCAAUUACAGGCUCGUGCUACCUUGUUCAACAAUUAAAGGACUGUGCCCACACCGUUGACCUGCCGUGACAAUAGAGGGCGUUGUGUGUCUCCCUCUCCUUUCGUCUGCACUGGAAUGAUUUCCACAGAGAAGCCCACGUUCAAGGGUAUUUCCCUCCCUGUGUAACCCUGACCGAGGCCUCAUGAACUUGCUUGCAUUGUCUCAAAAAUGUACAGACAUCCAGGAGACA